rnacentral:tRNA from 1 species
GCAAAAUGUAGCUCAAGCGUAAAGAGCGUUGGUCUUGUAAACCAAAGGUUGGAUUAAAAUAUUCCCAUUUGCU